rnacentral:rRNA from 1 species
UAAUUCGAUGAUACGCGUGGAACCUGACCUGGGCUUAAAUGCAGAACGACGGUUCCCGAAAGGGAUCCUUCUUCGGACGGACUGCAAGGUGCUGCAUGGUUGUCGUCAGCUCGUGCCGUGAGGUGUCGGGUUAAGUCCCAUAACGAGCGCAACCCCUAUUGUUAGUUGCCAGCGAGUAAUGUCGGGGACUCUAACGAAACUGCCGGUGUAAACCGUGAGGAAGGUGGGGAUGACGUCAAAUCAGCACGGCCCUUAUGUCCAGGGCUACAUACGUGUUACAAUGGUCGGUACAGAGGGCAGCUACUUGGCGACAAGUUGCAAAUCUCUAAAACCGGCCUUAGUUCGGAUUGAAGUCUGCAACUCGACUUCAUGAAGCUGGAAUCGCUAGUAAUCGCGCAUCAGCCAUGGCGCGGUGAUACGUUCCCGGGCCUUGUACACACCGCCCGUCAAGCCAUGGAAGCUGGGGGUACCUAAAGUCCGUAACCGAAAGGAGCGGCCUAGGGUAAACUGGUGACUGGGGCUAAGUC